AAUUUUUCUCCUUCCUGUUCAUCGAGACCAGAAUUUAGUAGUUCUUCUAUUUGUUCCUCUGAUAUUGGGGCGCCUGUGUCGAAGGCUGUUUCUUGAGAAGAAUAUUUUGGUUUGACGGGGACGUUCACUGUAAGUUUUUCCUUAAUCAACUUCAAGUCCAAAAUGCAAUUAUCAAGUAAACUUUUUGGAGGAUUGGUGUAACGUGUUAAGUAAAUAUUUGGUUGAGGAAGAUCGCCUUCUGGUGAAUUUGCAUAAUAACUGAUAGCUUGUUGAAGUCUAUGUGGUAUCAUACUAAAGGUAUUUUCGGGCUCAAAAGGAGGAUUGAACCCACAAUCAGAGGAAUCUAAAUCCAUAUUAUCGAUAUAAUUACUUACGGCAAAAUCAAUUUGUCGCAUAUCCUCUUCAUUUGACAGUUUCUCGAACUCUGAGAAAGAAUAAGGCCGAACAUCUUCAGCGAAUGGAAGUUGUAU